rnacentral:rRNA from 1 species
CCUACGGGCGGCAGCAGUGGGGAAUAUUGGACAAUGGGGGCAACCCUGAUCCAGCCAUGCCGCGUGUGUGAAGAAGGCCCUCGGGUUGUAAAGCACUUCCAGUGAGGAAGAACGCCUGGUGGUUAAUACCCAUCAGGAAAGACAUCACUCACAGAAGAAGCACCGGCUAACUCCGUGCCAGCAGCCGCGGUAAUACGGAGGGUGCGAGCGUUAAUCGGAAUUACUGGGCGUAAAGCGCGCGUAGGUGGCUUGAUAAGCCGGUUGUGAAAGCCCCGGGCUCAACCUGGGAACGGCAUCCGGAACUGUCAAGCUAGAGUGCAGGAGAGGAAGGUAGAAUUCCCGGUGUAGCGGUGAAAUGCGUAGAGAUCGGGAGGAAUACCAGUGGCGAAGGCGGCCUUCUGGACUGACACUGACACUGAGGUGCGAAAGCGUGGGUAGCAACCAGGAUUAGAUACCCCGGUAGUC